rnacentral:rRNA from 1 species
CGGACGGGUGAGGAAUACAUCGGAAUCUACUCUGUCGUGGGGGAUAACGUAGGGAAACUUACGCUAAUACCGCAUACGACCUACGGGUGAAAGCAGGGGAUCUUGGACCUUGCGCGAUUGAAUGAGCCGAUGUCGGAUUAGCUAGUUGGCGGGGUAAAGGCCCACCAAGGCGACGAUCCGUAGCUGGUCUGAGAGGAUGAUCAGCCACACUGGGACUGAGACACGGUCCAGACUCCUACGGGAGGCAGCAGGU